AUUGAACGCUGGCGGCAUGCCUAACACAUGCAAGUCGAGCGGAGCGGCGCCCGGCUGAGUAAUGCCUAGGAAUCUGCAUGGUAGUGGGGGAUAACGUCCGGAAACGGGCGAUAAUACCGCAUACUAUCAGAUGAGCCUAGGUCUGAUUAGCUAGUAGGUGGGGUAAAGGCAUACCAAGGCGACGAUCCGUAACUGGUCUGAGAGGAUGAUCAGUCACGCUGGGACUGAGACACGGUCGAGACUCCUACGGGAGGCAGCAGGGGGGAAUGUUGGACAAUGGGGGAAAACACGAUCCAGCAAUGCCGCGUGUGUGAAGAAGGUCUUCGGAUUGUAAAGUACUUUAAGUUGGGAGGCGUUACCCACAGAAUAAGCAACGGCUAAGUUCGUGCCAGCAGCGGCGGUAAUAC
rnacentral:rRNA from 1 species